rnacentral:sRNA from 1 species
AUGCUUCUGGGUUAUGAAUUCAUCAACCUUGCGAUUGAUAUGAUCGAUUUGAAUGAUUUUUCCGCUGCGUUGUUUCAAAAAUAGGAUCUGUAUAAGCAUCUGCAAUAUCUCUCAAGACUUUGAACUCAGCCAAUAUACCAACUCACUGGAGCGAGUAACUACAAGAAAUGGAGGAGAGAGAUUGGAUUACUGUUGACAAUCAAUGAGUAUGAUAUAGCCAUUGAUACUCUAAGACCAGUGAUCACAGAACAAAGCACUAUAACAGAAAAGGAAGAUUAUGAGAGGUGGACAAGAGCAAAUGAAGUUGCACUUUCUAUUCUUGAAAGUAGGAUGAUUGAUACAGUUCGUGGAGGGAUUAAAAGGCAUGAGUUGGCAGCAGAAUAUUUGAAUACGAUAGAGAAAAAGUUCAAGGAGUUAGAGAAAGCAGAGAUCAGUCAAUACAUGUCACUUUUGAUAACCUACAAAAUUGAUAAUGCUGGUUCAAUUAGGGAUCAUAUUAUGAAGAUAACUGUUGAUGCAGAAAAGUUAAACUCCAUGGAUGUCAACAUUGGUGAAAGACAGUUGGUUUCCAUGAUUUUGCAAGUGCUCCUAAACAAGUAUUCUCAAUUGAAGAUGUCCUACAACACACAAGAAACU